GCAGUGGUGGUUCAGUGGUAGAAUCCUUGCCUUCUAUGCAGGAGACAAGAGUUUGAUUCCCAGCCAAUGCA
rnacentral:tRNA from 1 species